AGAGCGAACGCUGGCGGCAGGCCUAACACAUGCAAGUCGAGAGGCCGUAGCAAUACGGCAGCGGCAGACGGGAGAGUAACACGUGGGAACGCGCCCUUCGGUUCGGAAUAACUCAGGGAAACUUGGGCUAAUACCGGAUACGCCCUUACGGGGAAAGAUUUAUUGCCGAAGGAACGGCCCGCGUCCGAUUAGCUUGUUGGUGAGGUAACGGCUCACCAAGGCGACGAUCGGUAGCUGGUCUGAGAGGAUGACCAGCCUCACUGGGACUGAGACACGGCCCAGACUCCUACGGGAGGCAGCAGUGGGGAAUAUUGGACAAUGGGCGCAAGCCUGAUCCAGCCAUGCCGCGUGGGUGAUGAAGGCCCUAGGGUUGUAAAGCCCUUUCGGCGGGGAAGAUAAUGACGGUACCCGCAGAAGAAGCCCCGGCUAACUUCGCGCCAGCAGCCGC
rnacentral:rRNA from 1 species